GAUGAACGCUGGCGGCGUGCCUAAUACAUGCCAGUCGAGCGAACAGACGAGGAGCUUGCUCCUCUGACGUUAGCGGCGGACGGGUGAGUAACACGUGGAUAACCUACCUAUAAGACUGGGAUAACUUCGGGAAACCGGAGCUAAUACCGGAUAAUAUAUUGAACCGCAUGGUUCAAUAGUGAAAGACGGUUUUGCUGUCACUUAUAGAUGGAUCCGCGCCGCAUUAGCUAGUUGGUAAGGUAACGGCUUACCAAGGCAACGAUGCGUAGCCGACCUGAGAGGGUGAUCGGCCACACUGGAACUGAGACACGGUCCAGACUCCUACGGGUGGCAGCAGUAGGGAAUCUUCCGCAAUGGGCGAAAGCUUGACGGAGCAACGCCGCGUGAGUGAUGAAGGUCUUCGGAUCGUAAAACUCUGUUAUUAGGGAAGAACAAAUGUGUAAGUAACUAUGCACGUCUUGACGGUACCUAAUCAGAAAGCCACGGCUAACUACGUG
rnacentral:rRNA from 1 species